rnacentral:rRNA from 1 species
AGCGAACGCUGGCGGCAGGCCUAACACAUGCAAGUCGAACGAACCUUUCGGGGUUAGUGGCGGACGGGUGAGUAACACGUGGGAACGUGCCUUUAGGUUCGGAAUACCUCAGGGAAACUUGUGCUAAUACCGAAUGUGCCCUUCUGGGGAAAGAUUUAUCGCCUUUAGAGCGGCCCGCGUCUGAUUAGCUAGUUGGUUGAGGUAAUGGCUCACCAAGGCGACGAUCAGUAGCUGGUCUGAGAGGAUGAUCAGCCACAUUGGGACUGAGACACGGCCCAAACUACUACGGGAGGCAGGAGUGGGGAAUCUUGCGAAAUGGGGGAAAGGCUGACGCAGCCAUGCCGGGUGAAUGAUGAAGGUCGUAGGAUAGUAAAAUUCUUUCACCGGGGACGAUAAUGACGGUACCCGGAGAAGAAGCCCCGGCUAACUUCGUG